AAAUUUGAAAUCUGGCUCCCCCCUGGGGGGCCCGAGUUGUAAUUUGGAGAGGAUGCUUUGGGCGCGGCGCCUUCCGAGUUCCUUGGAACAGGACGCCAGAGAGGGUGAGAGCCCCGUACGGUCGGACGCCUAGCCCGUGCAAAGCUCCUUCGACGAGUCGAGUAGUUUGGGAAUGCUGCUCAAAAUGGGAGGUAAAUUUCUUCUAAAGCUAAAUACCGGCCAGAGACCGAUAGCGCACAAGUAGAGUGAUCGAAAGAUGAAAAGCACUUUGAAAAGAGGGUUAAACAGCACGUGAAAUUGUUGAAAGGGAAGCGCCUGUGGCCAGACGUGCGCCCCGCGGACCACCCGUCGCUCUGCGGCGGGGCACGCCGCGGCGGCGCAGGCCAGCAUCGGCUCUCCCAGGGGGACAAAGGCCGCGGGAACGUAGCUCCUUCGGGAGUGUUAUAGCCCGCGGCGCCAUGCCUCUGGGGGGGCCGAGGACCGCGCCUUCGGGCAAGGAUGCUGGCGUAAUGGCCACCAGCGACCCGUCUUGAAACACGGACCAAGGAGUCAAGCAUUGGGGCGAGUGUUUGGGUGACAAACCCGCACGCGAAAUGAAAGUGAACGCAGGUGGGAG
rnacentral:rRNA from 1 species